rnacentral:rRNA from 1 species
AGCGAACGCUGGCGGCAGGCCUAACACAUGCAGGUCGAACGGACCCUUCGGGGUUAGUGGCGGACGGGUGAGUAACACGUGGGAACGUGCCUUUAGGUUCGGAAUAGCUCCUGGAAACGGGUGGUAAUGCCGAAUGUGCCCUUCGGGGGAAAGAUUUAUAGCCUUUAGAGCGGCCCGCGUCUGAUUAGCUAGUUGGUGAGGUAAAGGCUCACCAAGGCGACGAUCAGUAGCUGGUCUGAGAGGAUGACCAGCCACAUUGGGACUGAGACACGGCCCAAACUCCUACGGGAGGCAGCAGUGGGGAAUCUUGCGCAAUGGGCGAAAGCCUGACGCAGCCAUGCCGCGUGAAUGAUGAAGGUCUUAGGAUUGUAAAAUUCUUUCACCGGGGACGAUAAUGACGGUACCCGGAGAAGAAGCCCCGGCUAACUUCGUGCCAGCAGCCGCGGUAACAC